rnacentral:rRNA from 1 species
UACAGAGGUCUCAAGCGUUGUUCGGAUUCAUUGGGCGUAAAGGGUGCGUAGGCGGCGGGGCAAGUCAGGUGUGAAAUCCCGGAGCUCAACUCCGGAACUGCACUUGAUACUGCCUUGCUAGAGUACUGGAGAGGAGACUGGAAUUUACGGUGUAGCAGUGAAAUGCGUAGAUAUCUGGAGGAAUACCGGUGGCGAAGGCGGCAUCCUGGACCGACAUUGACGCUGAGGAGCGAAAGCCAGGGGAGCAAACGGG